CCUACGGGUGGCAGCAGUGAGGAAUAUUGGUCAAUGGGCGGGAGCCUGAACCAGCCAAGUCGCGUGAGGGAAGACGGUCCUACGGAUUGUACACCUCUUUUGCCGGGGAGCAACGGGGUCCUUGCGAGGGCCCAAUGAGAGUACCCGGAGAAAAAGCAUCGGCUAACUCCGUGCCAGCAGCCGCGGUAAUACGGAGGAUGCGAGCGGUAUCCGGAUUUAUUGGGUUUAGAGGGUGCGUAGGCGGGCUGUUCAGUCAGCGGUCAAAGGUCGGGGCUCAACCCCGGCCUGCCGUUGAAAAUGGCGGCCUCGAGUGGGCGAGAAGUAUGCGGAAGGCGGGGGGUAGCGGUGAAAUGCAUAGAUAUCACGCAGAACUCCGAUUGCGAAGGCAGCAGACCGGCGCCCUACUGACGCUGAGGCACGAAAGCGUGGGUAUCGAACAGGAUUAGAUACCCCUGUAGUC
rnacentral:rRNA from 1 species